GACGAACGCUGGCGGCGUGCUUCACACAUGCAAGUCGAGCGGAGCGGCGAACGGGUGAGUACCGCGUGAGUAACUGCCCCCCUCUCUGGGAUCACAGUUGGACACGGCUGCUAAUACCGGAUAGUGGGGGAUGACUCGCGGCCUCUCAGCUUGUUGGUGGGGUGAUGGCCUACCACGGCGGUGACGGGUAGCCGGCCUGAGAGGGUGACCGGCCACAUUGGGCUGAGAUACGGCCCAGACUCCUACGGGAGGCAGCAGUGGGGGAUAGUGCACAAUGGGCGAAAGCCUGAUGCAGCGACGCCGCGUGGGGGAUGAAGGCUUUCGGGUUGUAAACCUCUUCGUGCGAAAAAGGGGUAGGUGGAGAAGAAGCGCCGGCUAACUACGUGCCAGCAGCGGCGGUAAUUC
rnacentral:rRNA from 1 species